GUAUAAGUUUUUUUAUCAACGCUUUUUUAAGGCGAGGACAUCAAUUUACAUUCUAUUACACAUGGGGGUUGGUGAUAAGACAUAGGGGCCUUUUUACGGGCCCUUACAUUGGGUUCACAGGUGUGUGUUGGAUUAAAGGCUCAGGUGUGCACAUGCCCCGAAAGGCCAGCUACAACCUUCACCGGUAAUUUCAAUAAUGAUCCUUCCGCAGGUUCACCUACGGAAA
rnacentral:misc_RNA from 1 species